rnacentral:lncRNA from 1 species
CAAAUGAGGUCUGGUUUAAAGAAUGAGAAGUGUGACCAGGCAUGAGCCACCACGCCAGGCUGGUAGCAGUCUUUCCUAGAAUGUGGAUGCCUUGGAAAACAGGGGCUCUGCCUUGUUUCCCUAGAACCUAGAAUGGCAUCUGGCACACAGCAGAUGCUACAUCUAUUGUAAAUGAAUGAAUGAAAGAAGUGUCCUUGCAGCCACACUGGCAGCCGUAACAUAGUGGUUAUAAAUCUAGACUCUGGAGUCUCAAGUGCAAAUGUCAUUGGCCUCUCCUCCAGCCUCCUCAAGGGGCACUCAAUGACUGGAAGCGCCCUGAUAUGACUGUGGUUGGACUGACAUGACUGCCAGAUGGUGGGACUUGGUCUGGAGCAGAGACUACUUGGAAUGGUAGAGGCAAAACUCAACAGCCCCUGGAGCUGCGCUUGUGGUGGAGCUGGACCCUGAUUUUAGCUGGACCUUGUUUUUAGAGACAGGGUUUCCUUCUGCAGUCUCAAUCUCCUAGCCUUGAUUGAUCCUCCUGCCUUGGCCUCCCAAAGUGCUGGGACUACAGGUGCAUGCAACCACACCUGGCUAAUUUUCUUCUCUUCUUUCUUUUUUUUUUUUUUUUUGAUGGAGUCUUGUUCUGUUGCCCAGGCUGGAGUGCAAUGGUGCCAUCUCGGCUCACUGCAACCUCUGCCUCCCGGGUUCAAUCCAUUCUCCUGCCUCAGCCUCCCAAGUAGCUGGGACUACAGGUGUGUGCCACCGUGCCUGGCUAAUUUUUGUAUUUUUAGUAGGGAUGAGACUUCACCAU